rnacentral:rRNA from 1 species
CCUACGGGGGGCAGCAGUGAGGAAUAUUGGUCAAUGGACGAGAGUCUGAACCAGCCAAGUAGCGUGAAGGAUGACUGCCCUAUGGGUUGUAAACUUCUUUUAUAAGGGAAUAAAACGGGGUACGUGUGCCCUUUUGUAUGUACCUUAUGAAUAAGGAUCGGCUAACUCCGUGCCAGCAGCCGCGGUAAUACGGAGGAUCCGAGCGUUAUCCGGAUUUAUUGGGUUUAAAGGGAGCGUAGGUGGGUUGUUAAGUCAGUUGUGAAAGUUUGCGGCUCAACCGUAAAAUUGCAGUUGAAACUGGCAGUCUUGAGUACAGUUGAGGUAGGCGGAAUUCGUGGUGUAGCGGUGAAAUGCUUAGAUAUCACGAAGAACUCCGAUUGCGAAGGCAGCUUACUAAACUGUAACUGACAUUGAUGCUCGAAAGUGUGGGUAUCAAACAGGAUUAGAUACCCCUGUAGUC